rnacentral:tRNA from 4 species
GCCCACAUGGCUCAGUGGUAGAGCACUUCCUUGGUAAGGAAGAGGUCACCGGUUCGAUCCCGGUUGUGGGCUCCA